CCUACGGGAGGCAGCAGUGGGGAAUUUUGCGCAAUGGGGGAAACCCUGACGCAGCAACGCCGCGUGAGUGAUGAAGGCCCUUGGGUCGUAAAGCUCUGACAGAGGGAAAGAAGUGCAGGGGAGCUAAUAUCUCCUUUGCUUGACGGUACCCUCAAAGGAAGCACCGGCUAACUCCGUGCCAGCAGCCGCGGUAAUACGUAGGGUGCGAGCGUUAAUCGGAAUUACUGGGCGUAAAGCGUGCGCAGGCGGUUGUGUAAGUCAGAUGUGAAAUCCCCGGGCUCAACCUGGGAACUGCAUUUGAGACUGCACGGCUAGAGUGUAGCAGAGGGGGGUAGAAUUCCACGUGUAGCAGUGAAAUGCGUAGAGAUGUGGAGGAAUACCGAUGGCGAAGGCAGCCCCCUGGGUCGACACUGACGCUCAUGCACGAAAGCGUGGGGAGCAAACAGGAUUAGAUACCCUGGUAGUCCACGCCCUAAACGAUGUCAACUAGUUGUUGGAGGAGUGAAAUCCUUUAGUAACGAAGCUAACGCGUGAAGUUGACCGCCUGGGGAGUACGGUCGCAAGAUUAAAACUCAAAGGAAUUGACGG
rnacentral:rRNA from 1 species